CAGCUUCGUUUUCCCUGGGACCGUGAACAAAGGUUCUCUGUAAACGUACGUGGGUCCCGUGCGCCUGCCGGUCACUCCCCAGAGGCCUCGGGCCGCGGGGCGAGGGCUGAGGCUGGCAGCGCGGGGCUCCGGGGCUCCGGGGCGCUCCCGCCCCCUCCCGCCCCCUCCCUCCCCGGGGCUGGCCCGCGCCGCCAGCCUCCCCGAGGGCCCCGAGCUGGGGGCCGGACGGGCGGGGGCUCGGGCUCAGCUCGCGGCCGCGCCCCGAGGGUGGCAACGGCGCCGUCCGCCCCGCGGGGAUCGCGGCCCCGGGCCACACCCUGGCCCUUCGCGGCCGCCGCGUACCCCUGCACCGCCGAGCACCUGGCCGCGGCCCUUACGACCCCACCUCCACGCCUCUCGUCCACCCGCUGCCCUCCCCGGCCACCCAGACUUCUGGAACAAACUUUUGGCGCAACUUUAUUUCACUCGGGAGUGGUAUUUUCCAGUUCCACUCAGAUGUCUGAUUGUCAGCUUUAUGUCUCAGGAAGUAUUCCUCGCAAUUCAGGUGCUGUGCUGACAGCAGUAUUUCCUAUGCACACGGAUGGAGCUGACAAGAUCAAUGUGUCCUCUGCACCCCUUACACACUCCGGUUAGCGAUUGUAUCCACUGCUUACAAGCCCUGUUUAAAAUAAGUAAGGAACGGCCAUCUUCGGGAGCACAUUGAAACACGAUAUUCAUAGGGAUAGAAGAAAACAACGUGAAUGUUUGCCACAGAAAAAAUAAAAUGCAUCAGCAAGAUAAUCGCA
rnacentral:lncRNA from 12 species